UUCCACAGUACACGAAUCAGAAAAUCACCUUUGAAUUUGAUUGCGUGCUUGACACAGAUAGAAUCGUAAGCCUAACUCAUUGAUUCUUCACCUUCCUAUUUUGGCCAACUUUCUACAAAACCCUAAUCGUUUUGCCUCCCAAAACGAUGCGUUUGUUUGCCAAAUUCAAUACAAUUCCAUAACCAUGAAGCUCUAGUUUUCAUUUCAAUGGACUCUUAUCGACUCCUCUCCUGUUAUCAGUAUUAUCAAUAACGACAACAACUGAAGCUUUGGUGAUUCAUAUUCACGCUCCAUGGAAGCUCGUAGAGGUUGGCGUGCCGUUCCCAAGGUCCGCCAGGUCGGAUUCUUCACUCCCAAUGAGCCACCGCCGCCUGCUCGGACUCAGUCUGGGCCGCCUGACUCUAACUCGCCGCCGCUUUCCAAUUCUCCUGCGGGCAACUCCUUAUCUCCAGUUAUGAUCCCCCCGCCACGUCACCUCUCUGAUAACCUUGCUCAUCGCGCCACUUCGCCACUCCCUGUCCCAGAGACAUCGGCCUUCCGCCGACCUAUCCCCGGCGGCGACCGUGUGGCGGUGGUGGGCAGCUACAACCCGACCGAUUCGAUGCUUGGAGCGUCGCCGCCGCUGACCUCGCCUUCAAGUAGGAUCGGCGAUGGAGAAUUUUCGGAGGAAUCGUCUCCUGGUUGGUUUCGCAGGAGCAACUCUGCUAAGUUCGCCUCGAGUUUCCCUGGUGGUGGAUUCGAUUUGACGUCGAUAAAGUCAUCGGAGACUUUGGAAGUUGAAGUGAAAAAGCCUGUUGAAGUACCUGGACCAAAUAUUGCAGAAAAAAGUGGAGUGGCUGGUGCAGAGCUGCAAACUGAAUCACAAUCAAGUUCAAAGCCAUUGAAAGCUAAAACAACAAAGGCUGAAAGACGUGCCUUGCAGGAAUCCCAACGAGCUGCCAAAGCUGCUGCAAAAGGAGAAGCCACCGGUAAACCUGCUAUCUCAUCUGAGGGAGCAGCGACCAGUAAACCUGUGAAGCAGCAACCAUCACGAAAGAAAGAUGCUCUUCCUGCUGCAACAUCAGUUGCAGCUUCUGACAGGAAAGGAGUAGAUCGUCCACCAGAGAAAGAGAGGAAGAAAGAAGUCCCUCCUCCACGCAUGCAAUUUGAUGAUAAAAAUCGAGUGGAAAAGGCUAAAAAGCGUGCAGUGGUCAAUCAAACUGAAGCUAGGAAUAGGGUUGAGUUGUUCCGACACUUGCCUCAGUAUGAGCGUGGAAGCCAGCUUCCUGAUCUUGAGUCAAAAUUUUUCCUACUUGAUCCAAUGCAUCCUGCUGUUUACAAGGUUGGAUUACAGUAUUUGGCGGGAGAUAUCUCUGGAGGUAAUGCUCGUUGUAUUGCAAUGCUACAGGCAUUUCAGGAAGUCAUUAAAGACUACUCCACACCACCAGAAAAAUCUCUUACCAGGGAUUUAACGGCAAAAGUUGGUAGUUAUGUUUCCUUUUUGAUUGAAUGCCGACCACUUUCUAUGAGUAUGGGAAAUGCAAUUAGGUUUUUGAAGAAUCGUAUUGCAAAGCUGCCUUUAAGUCUUUCUGAAUCAGAAGCAAAAGAAUCCCUUUGUUCAGAUAUCAAUCGUUUCAUAAAUGAGAAGAUAGUACUUGCUGACAAGGUGAUAGUUAGACAUGCUGCUUCAAAAGUCAGGGACGGGGAUGUUCUUCUUACGUAUGGAUCAUCAUGUGUUGUUGAGAUGAUUCUGUUAUAUGCCCAUGAGCUUGGGAAACAGUUCAGGGUUGUGAUAGUGGACUCACGCCCUAAACUUGAAGGCCAAGCUUUACUUCGUAGGCUGGUGGCAAAGGGCCUGAAUUGUACAUAUACUCACAUAAAUGCAGUUUCUUAUAUCAUGCAUGAAGUCACUAGAGUAUUUCUUGGGGCUUCCUCAGUAUUGUCCAAUGGAACUGUUUAUUCGAGGGUUGGAACUGCAUGUGUUGCUAUGGUUGCUCAUGCAUUCCGUGUUCCAGUGUUAAUAUGCUGUGAAGCAUAUAAGUUUCAUGAAAGGGUUCAACUGGAUUCAAUAUGCUCCAAUGAACUAGGUGAUCCAGAUGCCAUUGCAAAGGCUUCUGGAAGAAUGGAUGUAAAUUACGUGGAUAAUCUGGCUAAUAAAGAAAAUCUUCAGCUUUUAAAUUUGAUGUAUGAUGCCACUCCUUUAGAAUAUAUCUCUAUGAUUGUCACCGAUUAUGGCAUGAUGAACUUGAAGCUGCUUGCAAUAUUAAGGGGCUUAAUUGCACCAACUGUCCCUAAACUUAGGGGAUUAAUUCAUUUCCGUCCUUGAACUUUAAUUUCUUAAAAUAAAAUCGUUCAAUUUUAAUUUUAUUUCAAAAAAGUCACUGUUACCUGCAAUAACAAGUUUAAUGGUUAAAAGAUAUAAAAUUACUAUUUUAUCCAUCUCUCAAAGAAAAUUACUAGUUUGCCCCCUUCUCUUUUUUUCUCUCUCUUAACUUCACUUUUUUUUUUUAAAUAAGCUAAAAAAAUUAAUUAAAAUUACUAAGAGAAUAAUAAGAACAAGUCGCAAAAGAACCUAGGAUAGAGAACCAAAAGAGAACAGCCAAGUAACCCAAAAUAGGAACAAGCAAAAAAAAAAAAAAACCAGAAUACCCCAUAAAGAAAACAAAAAUAAAAAGAAACUAUAACAAGUUAAUAGAAAAGAACCCCACCAAGAGAAAAAAACUAGCAACUAAAAUCCACAAGCCAUUAAAAUUACCACAAAAUCAAGCCAGAGCUGCAAGAUCAAGCAAAGUGAAGCAGAGAUAAUGAUAUGGAGAACACACAGUCUCAGGAAGUAGAAGAAAUAUUUGCAACAAGCUAACACCUAAGACCUCUUUGCACAGAAAUAAUGAAGAAAAUUGCGUGAAGAGGGGUGCGGGGGCUGAGAGUGUGAAUGACGAAAACCAGAAGACUAACAUUCAACGAAGCCAAAUACCAACAGCAAUGUAAAAAUACAUGAAGUAGCAACACACAUGAGAGAGAGAGAGAGAGAGAGAGAGAGAGAGAGAGAGAAGAGCCAAAUCUCAACUUCAAUGGAAGAGCAAUAAGGCUACAAAAAGCAAGCAAGGGUUGCAAUACUUCCCUGAUAGAACCAACAAAUAAACCAAUUUAAGCAAGAAUGAGAAAACUCAAUCCUCAAUGGAAAAACUAGAACCUCUAAAACUCAAACAAGAACCUCUUAUCUGGUGAUUAUCUCUCUCCAAUACUCUUUCCAUCUCUUUCUUUGGAUCUCAUUGUUUCUCUUCUUCCUCUUCUCUAUGAAAUAUAAAGCAAGGAAAAGUGGGUCAGAUGAAAUUGAUAUAGGUGUUGCAUUAUAGAGGAGCAAGCCUAGCACUCUUCCUCAAUCCUUAAUCUGUCAAUUAUACAAUUACUGAUUUUGUCAUUUCAUUCCCUCUUCUACAAGUUGAAGAUUGUGAAUUGUGAUUUAACAAUUUUUAGUACCCGUUAUUAAGCAAAUCCCACACAUACAGAAACAAAGCUUGGAUUAUUCAAUAUGUAAUCAAUCACGAUUAUAAUAUACAAAACAAAGCCAAAUGAAUUAAUAAGAGUACCUAAUGCGAUAAUAGUAACCUUGCAGAAGGCAAACAACUAUGAACCAAGCGCACCAGAUCUAAGUGAAUAGCCCUCAAUGAUUUUGUAAACUUGGUGGACCCUAGCACCAUCCAUGAACCUAAUAUAGUCCCAAGCUCCAACAUGCCAAAAUGAGGCUCUACUACUGGCUGCCCACGGCACACCUCUAAAAUGUGCAGGUGGUCGGCUGCCCAGCGGUGUUGUGGUUAGGAUGUCUUAGCUGUAGGUGAUGUGGUUUUGGAGUGGGAUCCAGGACCAGUGAUGCCACGAGGAGAAGCUUGCCGGUGUCUAGCGUCAACCCUACCUCUCCACAGGCAACGCAGAGUGACGCUAUGCAAUGAGGGCUAGGCAAACUGGCCAUUGCACUAAUUGCAGGACUGGUUCCUGCAUGAAUCAGGAGCUCUAGGAGGUUGCAGAUCCCACCAACAAGUGUCCCUGUUAUUGUGCGGGAGUAUCGGAGGGAGCACUUGUGGAUAUAGUUUUGCAUGGACAUUAUUAUUGGGCUAGUAAGGGAUUUCAUGUUGAGUUUCAGUUAAGGAACCAAGCUCACAGUUGUGGAAUUGAACACGAGAUGAUAACAAGACCUAUAAAUUCUACAGCAUUUAGUUGUGAUAUGGGCUUUGCCCAUAUGAUGAUUUUGUGCCUUGUCAAAUUUACUUUGUAUUAUUUGUUUUUCUUAGUAAUUGUGUAGAAAGGUUGCGUUUUGUUGCCUCUCAUGACAGUUUUGAUUUUGGAGGUGGUUAUAUUUGUAACAAAAAUUUCCCCCUUUGCUUUUUUACCCAUCAUCAAUAUUGAAUUUCAACAACCACAUGAAGGAAACACCCUUUAGAGGGGACAACUACCCAGGAAGUCCUUGAA